rnacentral:ncRNA from 1 species
AAAUAAAGGUGCCGAAUAUCGGAUAAUCGGGAAAACGGUUAAAAGCCGUUACUGCCCCCGCAACUGUACGAGCCAAGUGUCAUCAGCCACCGGAAGGGAAGGCGGACAAGGGAAACCUCUCAAGUCAGGAGACCGGCCUUUAUUUCA